AACGAACGCUGGCGGCAGGCCUAACACAUGCAAGUCGAGCGAGGACUUCGGUCCUAGCGGCGGACGGGUGAGUAACGCGUGGGAACGUGCCCUUUGCUACGGAAUAGCCCUGGGAAACUGGGAGUAAUACCGUAUGAGCCCUUUGGGGGAAAGAUUUAUCGGCAAAGGAUCGGCCCGCGUUGGAUUAGGUAGUUGGUGGGGUAAUGGCCUACCAAGCCGACGAUCCAUAGCUGGUUUGAGAGGAUGAUCAGCCACACUGGGACUGAGACACGGCCCAGACUCCUACGGGAGGCAGCAGUGGGGAAUCUUAGACAAUGGGCGCAAGCCUGAUCUAGCCAUGCCGCGUGGGCGAUGAAGGCCUUAGGGUUGUAAAGCUCUUUCAGUGGGGAAGAUAAUGACGGUACCCACAGAAGAAGCCCCGGCUAACUCCGUGCCAGCCGCCGCCGUAACAC
rnacentral:rRNA from 1 species